CCCUUAGAUGUUCUGGGCUGCACGCGCGCUACACUGAUGCACUCAACGAGUUUACGACCUUGCCCGAUAGGGUUGGGUAAUCUUUUUAAAAUGCACCGUGAUGGGGAUAGAUUAUUGCAAUUAUUAAUCUUCAACGAGGAAUUCCUAGUAAGCGCGAGUCAUCAGCUCGUGCUGAUUACGUCCCUGCCCUUUGUACACACCGCCCGUCGCUCCUACCGAUUGAGUGCUCAGGUGAAUAAUUCGGACUGCAGCAAUGUUUGGAUCCCGAACGUUGCAGCGGAAAGUUUAGUGAACCUUAUCACUUAGAGGAAGGAGAAGUCGUAACA
rnacentral:rRNA from 1 species